AUUGAACGCUGGCGGCAUGCCUUACACAUGCAAGUCGAACGGCAGCACGGGAGCAAUCCUGGUGGCGAGUGGCGAACGGGUGAGUAAUAUAUCGGAACGUGCCCGGUCGUGGGGAUAACGUAGCGAAAGCUACGCUAAUACCGCAUACGAUCUACGGAUGAAAGCGGGGGAUCGCAAGACCUCGCGCGAUUGGAGCGGCCGAUAUCAGAUUAGGUAGUUGGUGAGGUAAAGGCUCACCAAGCCGACGAUCUGUAGCUGGUCUGAGAGGACGACCAGCCACACUGGGACUGAGACACGGCCCAGACUCCUACGGGAGGCAGCAGUGGGGAAUUUUGGACAAUGGGCGCAAGCCUGAUCCAGCAAUGCCGCGUGCAGGAUGAAGGCCUUCGGUUGGUAAACUAG
rnacentral:rRNA from 1 species